CCUACGGGUGGCAGCAGUGAGGAAUAUUGGUCAAUGGACGAGAGUCUGACCAGCCAAGUCGCGUGAAGGAUGACUGCCCUAUGGGUUGUAAACUUCUUUUAUAUGGGAAUAAAAUGUUCCACGUGUGGGAGUUUGUAUGUACCAUAUGAAUAAGGAUCGGCUAACUCCGUGCCAGCAGCCGCGGUAAUACGGAGGAUACGAGCGUUAUCCGGAUUUAUUGGGUUUAAAGGGAGCGUAGGUGGAUUGUUAAGUCAGUUGUGAAAGUUUGCGGCUCAACCGUAAAAUUGCAGUUGAAACUGGCAGUCUUGAGUACAGUAGAGGUGGGCGGAAUUCGUGGUGUAGCGGUGAAAUGCUUAGAUAUCACGAAGAACUCCGAUUGCGAAGGCAGCUCACUGGACUGCAACUGACACUGAGGCUCGAAAGUGUGGGUAUCAAACAGGAUUAGAUACCCGGGUAGUC
rnacentral:rRNA from 1 species